UGCGUAGGCGGAAUAUUAAGUCAGUGGUGAAAUCCUGCGGCUCAACCGUAGAACUGCCAUUGAUACUGAUAUUCUUGAAUGUAGUUGAGGUAGGCGGAAUGUGUAAUGUAGCGGUGAAAUGCUUAGAUAUUACACAGAACACCGAUUGCGAAGGCAGCUUACUAAACUAUGAUUGACGCCGAGGCACGAAAGCGUGGGGAGCGAACAGGAUUAGAUACCCUGGUAGUCC
rnacentral:rRNA from 1 species